rnacentral:rRNA from 1 species
GUUGAACGCUGGCGGAAUGCUUUACACAUGCAAGUCGAACGGCAGCACGGGUGCUUGCACCUGGUGGCGAGUGGCGAACGGGUGAGUAAUACAUCGGAACGUACCCAGUUGUGGGGGAUAACUAACCGAAAGGUUAGCUAAUACCGCAUACGACCUGAGGGUGAAAGCGGGGGACCGUAAGGCCUCGCGCAAUUGGAGCGGCCGAUGUCUGAUUAGCUGGUUGGUGAGGUAAAGGCUCACCAAGGCGACGAUCAGUAGCAGGUCUGAGAGGAGGAGCUGCCAAACUGGAACUGGGACACGGUCCGGACUCCUACGGGAGGAAGCAGUGGGGAAUUUUGGACAAUGGGCGAAAGCCUGAUCCAGCCAUUCCGCGUGAGUGAAGAAUGCCUUCGGGUUGUAAAGCUCUUUCGGCAGGGAAGAAACGGUCUAGGUUAAUACCUUGGGCUAAUGACGAUACCUGAAGAAGAAGCACCGGCUAACUACGUGCCAGCAGCCGCCGCCGUAA